AUGGGCGUGUCCUAUUGCACAACUGUUGCUUUGCACAAGCUUGCUGACAAUGUGUAGACACUUGUCCACAAAUUCUAUUCUGUUAUAUUCCAUAACGUGUGGAUUUUACUUUGGAAGUUUCAAUGGAAACAUGACAAUCACAGUUCACAUUCUAAGCUGUGAGCAGCUCCUACUGGUCAAACUGGGUGUGAGAAGGCAAAUGGCCAUGUGCAAGCAGCGCUGGAAGGGACUGGGACUAACGACCGUCAAUCAGCCCGUACACUCAUAGCAAAGCAGCAAAAUUGACUGACGUGUGUCUCUGUGUGUCUGUGUGCGGGUGUGUGUGUGUGAAAGAGAGAGACUGACUGGCAUGCGUGCGUUUGUGUGUAUUGACCAGGGCUGUGGUGCAUUGUAGUUGCAUUGCAUGUGUGUGUACAUGGUGUGCAAUGCGCCUUCCAUGCAACACAGAGCUGUGUCAUGAUAACACACACAUUGUGCAUGCUGUGUCAAGGUCUGAUUCUGAAACUUUUUAAUGUCAUUGUCUGCCGUCUUCUCAUCUAUCAUUUCAUGAUAAAUGCAUAUUAAUUAUUGUAUUUUCACCCAAAGGACAUGACUGUGAAGUGUGAGUACUGAAACAUGGGACAAUAUAAUGUGAAUAUAAUGUAACCCUAACCCUAGCUUUUUAAAGCUUUUUAAAGCACUUAUAGAUGUUGUCACACAUAAUAUUCUUGAAGAUGAUUUACAAGAUGUUGACUCAGCAACAACAAGUGGCUGUCUCAGAUUGGUCCAUCAAACAUUGGAUUAGACAUUGUGUUCUGUCUAUGGUCUUAGUAAGCUGCUUCCCAAAUGGCACCAUAUUCCCUACAUAGUGCACUACUUUUGAGAAGAGCCCUACGGGUCCUGCUCAUAAAUACUGCACUAUAUAGGGAAUAGGGUGUCAUUUGGGACAUACACUAAGGGAAUAAGGUGUCAUUUGGGACUCAUAGUAAGCUCUGCCAGGCUUCCUGACUGGAACAAAUAGACAUGUUACUGGAGGUGGAGGAGAAAUGAGGGCUUACACUUUAUUUUACAGUCCGAUGUUUACUUGCUAUUUACUAAGAGUCGCAAGCUACCGUAACUACAUAGUAAUUAGCUAACAAAUUACUCUCAUUUCUUUUGAGAUUCACUGAAGUGCCUCAACAUAUAAAGUGGUUCCUGCUUGCUAGGCAGUUAUAUGCCAAUUCUCAGUGAAUAGUGAUGUAAAAUAAGGGAUACUUCCCAUAUUUCUCUUACAUCCUAUUUCAUUUCUUACACCCUUCUAGUCAUUUUUAAUCACCCGUUUGGGGUUUAGCAGGGACAUCCUAACAGGUCUCCAGUAGCAGGAGGCAUACGGGGCCUGAAGGAGCUACAGUAAAUAUAAUCUAACUGUAAACACAUCUAAACUGACAUUGAUUUGACAUCCAGUGUUGAUGUUCUCAUUCAAAACACAUUUAAAAGCCAUUUUAAAACUGGCAUAUUCCACCCCGCAGAAUCUACCCCUGGCCCUUUAACUUGUUCUGUAAAUGGGACUUCGAAUGGAUUCAAAUGUAUGUGAGUCCUUUCUGGCUUCUCAGGCUAUUCCAACCCAUCUUCAUUAGCUAGAUGCAAGCCUGAUAUCAUUACCCAGCAAUCUGCAUUCCAUUGUAGGACUGGUACAUAAGCAAGUCCCAUACAACAAACUGCACCCUUACCCCCUCCAAUCCCCUCCUACCACAGCUCAAAGAAAUCAUGGUUGUUAGUCAAGUAAGGAGAAAUUACACAGCCUCCCCCAUAUACAAACAUACACUGUAUUGUAUUGUUUAUAAACAACAACACACAUAUUUAUAAUGAGAUUCACGAUCAUAGUCAUGUUGAAAAUUACUCCCAAGAAUGAAAAUCCAAUUAUAAAAUAAACGCUGUAGAUUAAAUGA